AGAACGAACGCUGGCGGCAGGCCUAAAACAUGCAAGUCGAACGAACCUUCGGGUUAGUGGCGCACGGGUGAGUAACGCGUGGGAAUGUACCUCUGGGUGCGGAAUAACGUAGGGAAACUUACGCUAAUACCGCAUAAUAUCUUCGGAUCAAAGAUUUAUCGCCCAGAGAUCAGCCCGCGUUAGAUUAGCUAGUUGGUAAGGUAAUGGCUUACCAAGGCUACGAUCUAUAGCUGGUCUGAGAGGAUGAUCAGCCACACUGGAACUGAGGCACGGUCCAGACUUCUACGGGAGGCAGCAGUUAGGAAUAUUGGACAAUGGGGAAACCCUGAUCCAGCCAUGCCGCGUGUGUGAAGAAGGCCUUAGGGUUGUAAAGCACUUUCGUCUGUGAAGAUAAUGACAGUAGCAGAAGAAGAAGCUCGGCUAAAUCGCGCCAGCAGCCGC
rnacentral:rRNA from 1 species